CUGCCUUCUGAGCAAGGGGAUCCCAGCAACCCUGGUACAGCAGGCUCUGAGCAAUACCAAGGAGCAGGGCAGGAACUAAGAGGGGCUAUGUAGGAACCAUAUCUCGAUCAGGAAACCGCAGUAGGGAGGCCCUCCCAGGGUGCCCUGAAGAACACAUACAGCUCAUAGAGAGUAAGUGAUUGGAAGACAGUCAGGUAAAAAAUAUCUACAUUCCUCUUCUCCCUCCACUUCUUCCUACUACUCCAAUACCAUGGUCCACCUUCAAGAGAAGCAGAAGAAGAUGGCACAGUGGAGUGGAUGCUGCCCUCUCACCUAUCAAGCCAAGAGCAGGAGUGGAGAACGAGGAAGAUGGCCAUAAAGUCCUUGGGAACAUUCAGGGGUAAGAAAAUCAGAGCAAAGGAAGUUUGAGUAAUGCACCCUGGCUCCCAUAAAUGGUAGAUGCAGAGCUCAAACCCACAUGGCUGACUCCAGACCUCAAUGAAGAACACGUUCCUGUUUUCCUGGGUGGUUCACCAUUUUGCCUGUUGUCCCAGGCCCCCAUGCAUUUGAAAGGAAGAGAAGGAGAACAAAAACAAGGAAAGAAAGGAAAAAAGGAAGGAAGGGAGGAAGUCAAGGCAAGAACCCUACAUCUACAUGACAAUAAGCCAGCAAAUCUCUAAAGGAUGAGAAGCCACAUGGGGAAGAGAGAAGUUGUGCCCACUAGCAUGAGCCCAGAAACAGAGUCUUGCUCUAUCACCAAGGCUGGAGUGCAGUGGUACGAUCACAGCUCACUGCAACCUCUAACUCCUGAGCUCAAGUGAUUCUCCUGCCUCAAUCUCCCAAGUAGCUGGGUCUACAGGAGGAAAACCCUGUGAACCUAUAAAAUUCCAGAGAAAGUUUGGUUCAAGAUGCAUUUCCAACAUUAUUCUCAAUUGCGUAAUCUACUUGGAAAACAGAUUGACUUGGCAAUAUGAAUCAAGAGCAUACAACCUAGUAAUUUCCUUUUUGGAAAUUUCUCCUAAGUAUGAAAAAAGCUAUAUGCAUGAAGACACCCAUCCCCAGUUUCAUUAUAAUAGAAAAAAUUUAGAAACAAAUAUCUAAGUAAAUUGUGUUAGAGCCAAUCAAUAGACAAUUAUGAGGUCAUAAAGGUGUUGUUUUAGAAGAUUAUGUAAUAAUUUGAGUAAAUGCUUGUCAUUUCAAAAAUUGAUAUUAAAAGAAUAAGGUUAUUAAAUUAUAUACAUUAUAUAAUUGUAACUUUUAAAAAUGUAUAUAUUUAUAUACAUAUAUAUAAAAGACCACAAAAACAUGCCAAAUAUUAUUAAUGGUUAUAUUAACUAAGUGUUUCUAAAUCAGGAAUGGAUAGGAAUCACAACAAUUAUUUCCAAGGAACUCCUCUUCAAGACCUUCCUUCAAAGAUUGUUUCAUUGACUCCUUCAGUAAAACUGAUGCAAAUUCCUGAUUAGAUGCUGGGUUGUAAAAAAAACAUUAGGUUGUAAAGAAAAAUGAUAAUUUGUUCCUUGUUUUCUAAUUUUGUUCAUAUUUCCUGAAAUAGGCUAGCGUUCACUGUGUAAAGUAAAAGUUUAAUAAUUAAAUCCAUUAAUAUCAGCAGUAGUGGUAGUAACAAUCUUUUAUUAAGCAUUUAUUUCAGACAUACUUUCUCCUUCACUCUUCAAAAUAGUAUUGUUAGGGAUGGAGGCAGUGAUGUGCACCUGUAGUCUCAGCAAGUCAGGUGGCUUAGACAGGAGAAUUGCUUGAGCCCAGGAGUGAGAAACUAACCCAGGCAACCUAGUGAGACCCUGGCUCAAAAAAAAAAAAAAUUAAAAUUAAAAAAAAUAGUUUUGUUGGAUGAUUAUUAUUCUGAUUUUAUAAAUGAUAAAUUUAUAAGUAGUACAGCCAUAAUUCCAAGCCUUCUUGAUCCUCUGUGUGAUGAAAUCAAAGGAGGACGAAAUUAUGUCAUGACAACAGAAACGUUGGUAUUGACAAUAGCCAAUCCUCAAUAGUUAGGAUGACUUGGGUAACCGGCUUUAGGUUUUUGUUCAUUUGUUUGUUUCAGGAGUAUUGAAAGAUACAGCCAUAUCACAAAUACAGACAGACUAUUACAGAAAUGUUCAAUUUUAUGCCACGGACUUUAUGUUCAUUCUUUAUAUAAGAAUGAGUUGUAGAUGAGAUAUGAGAAAUGUAUUGUGACUGUCAGAUACAUGGAGACUAAGUGACCUCCUCUGAGUUAGAGAAUCACAGAAAUUAUUCUUUGCUUACCCUCCAAAUGUAAUUUUUAAAUUUAUCUUUCUUUACCAUAGAAUUUUGAUAUGGAGCAAAUUGUCAUUUUUACAGACAUUUUUAGCCACUAAAGAGUCUCCAUACAACUCUUAAAAAAUCCUCAUGAAAAUAAAAAUGUGAGUCAUUAAAGGCAAGAUAUAAAACAAGUUUUCAUCACAGAAGAGACCACUCCACUUGUUUUCAUGCCACCUCCUACUAAUGUCACUCUAAGAAUGAGAGAAAGAACAGGGCUGACUGGCUGCCUUUUACUUUUUCAUUUGAAGUUUGACAAAUCUGUGCUCAAAGCAUCAAAUCAAAUAGUUUUCAGAGAGAUAAGAGAUCAUUAUGCAAGAUUACAUGUGAGAAAAGAUACAAUAAGUUGAUUAGUAAGUUAAUCAUGUCCGAACAUUACACCCUGAGCUUGGCAAACAUUUGAACAGGGAAUUUCCUUUCAACUGCUAAUGCUUAUAUGAUAAUAUAUAUUAAACACUAAAUCAGUUUUAGAGUUUGGUUCAGAUAUUGCUACUAAUUAGUUUUGGCUGAUAUUGAAGUAUUUUGUAUGCUCCAUUUAUAAAAGCACUAUUUGCCCAUCUGUUCAUAGGUUGAAAGUGAUUAAGGAUACUUAUUUCGGCUGUUGUAAAAGCCAAAUACUUCUUAAGCUGCAAAUAUGUGACAAAACCAGAUCAGGUUGCCAAGUUCAGAAAUAUAGUAAAAGAGAUCUGUGAUGCCUCCCUCCCCCAAUUCCUCUUCCAACCUGCAUUAUUGAAAAGUAAAUAUCACUGCUUUCCUGAUUAGACUAGCAUGCCUGCUUUGUCCAAAUGCUUUGCAAUUUAGUUAUAAUUUACACAAUUUACUCUGAUUUGGAUCUGCUGCUACCAAGCUGUGUCGAGGGCUUUCGUUUUCUGUACGUGCAGCCUUGAAGUAGAAACAUGUGAUACUCUUGUGCUUUGAAUGUGGUAUUUGAAAGUAACUUGGGUAAUGAGUGGAACAAGUUUGUGGCCUACUUUAAACCCCUAAAUGAUUUCUGUUAAGUUUGAAAACAAUGCAUUAAAUUCAGCAUGGGUGAUAUAGAUUUUUAAGGGGAGGGAUGUAAUACAUGCUCGUGAAAUUCAUCUUUUGUCUCAUUAUUAUUUUACUAUUCCUUUUCCACUGUUCCCAAGGGUUCAGUACUUCACGCUAGUAAAACCUGUUCACUUCAAAAAUCAGAGCAGUAUUCCUGGGACUUUCUAAAAUAAGAUGCACUCCUCCUGAAGUGGAAGAUAAUGUCACUUUAAUUCAGGCAAAUUUUUAAAAUAGUUUAAGUACCUAAAGGAGAUGUAAUUCUUGGGUGCCUUCUGUUCUCUUUUUGUACCCCAAUCAUUCCUCAAAAUGCUACUCCAUGCCAAUCCCCAAAAAACAAGUGCCCUCCUAUUUUUGACUGUUUCUAGGUCUACGGAAAUCUGUUUAACUAGAUCAUAUCAAAGGAUGGAGAUUGAUAUCCCAUUUAAAAUCUCUAAGACAAUUGGAAUUUCUGGGUAGGAUACUUUUUACCACCUAUGUAGAUUCCUAGUUAGAACAUUUCAGGUAGUAAAAUGCUUAAGGCACUCACUAUGGGAGAAGA
rnacentral:lncRNA from 10 species